rnacentral:misc_RNA from 1 species
AUUUUGGAAAUCACAAUACAUCCAAAUCCAGAGCUAAGGCCAAAAGCAGUAGAGGUAUUGCAUCAUCCUUUCUUUUGGAAUUCUGAGAUGCGACUCUCAUUCCUCCGAGACGCCAGUGAUAGAGUGGAAUUAGAGGAUAGAGAAGAUGGAUCUGAACUUUUGGGAGCACUGGAAAGUGUUAAGACCGUGGCAUUGGGUGGUCUGUGGAAUGAUAAAAUGGAUAGUGCAUUUAUCAAUGACAUUGGUCGCUACAGGCGUUACAAAUACGAUAGUGUCCGCGAUUUGUUGCGUGUUAUCAGAAAUAAGUUAAACCAUUACAGAGAGCUUUCAAAGGAAAUACAGGGAAUUCUUGGACAGGUUCCUGAAGGUUUUGAGAGCUAUUUCUCCACCAGGUUUCCUAGACUUGUAAUUGAG